ACCCGCUGAACUUAAGCAUAUCAAUAAGCGGAGGAAAAGAAACCAACAGGGAUUGCCCUAGUAACGGCGAGUGAAGCGGCAACAGCUCAAAUUUGAAAUCUGGCCUUUACGGUCCGAGUUGUAAUUUGUAGAGGAUGUUUUGGGUACCGCCGCGGUUUAAAUUUCUUGGAACAGAAUGUCAGAGAGGGUGAGAGUCCCGUCUUGGAUCGCGGUAGGGCCUGUGUAAAACUCCUUCGACGAGUCGACUUGUUUGGGAAUGCAGGUCAAAAUGGGUGGUAAAUUUCAUCUAAAGCUAAAUAUUGGCCAGAGACCGAUAGCGCACAAGUAGAGUGAUCGAAAGAUGAAAAGCACUUUGAAAAGAGAGUUAAACAGUAUGUGAAAUUGUUGAAAGGGAAGCGCUGGCAACCAGACUCGUGCGCGGGGUUCCCCCUUGCUUCUGCUUGGGUUAUUUCCCCGUGUCCGGGCCAUCAUCAGUUUUGGGGGCCGGUUAAAGGUCUUGGGAAUGUAUCUACUCCUUCGGGGGUAGACUUAUAGCCCAGGGCGUCAUGCGGCCACCCGGGACUGAGGAACGCGCUUCGGCGAGGAUGAUGGCGUAAUGGUUGU
rnacentral:rRNA from 1 species